GAAGUUAAUGAGGAAGGAACAACAUGAAAGCAGCAACAAAGUAUAGCCUUGGUUUUCUCAAUAUCAGGUCACAAGAGGCCACCAGGAAAAAAUAAUAAUGCUGGCAAAACACACCUGAAUGCCAGCCAUUUUCAAAAAUAAAGAAUUCUCCUCAGCAUGGCAUACUUUUUCAGCCCUCCUAUGACACACACAGCUUGGUCACAGAGUGGGAUUCUGCUAAACACUGGUAGCUGUUUGUCAAUUUGAACCUUCUUUUUAACAUCUCCUUGUGCUUCUGAUCCUGACCUCUUUGAGAAGAUCAUAUGAGUCACAAGGUGUUUUUUGUACCAUCAUAGCAAAUGCACAGCAGAUCAGCAGAGUGGAGAGGAAAAGACCACACCACAGAGCAAGUGUGAGAUUGUGUAGUUGAGAAUGCCUGACAUCUCACUGCUGAGCUUGAGGGGCAAAAGCUGUGUCUGGGCCAUGUUUUCAAGCAGACAAUGCAAAGAAUGGAUGAAAUGAGAGAAAUCAAACAGCUGCUCCAUCAAAACUCUCUCAGUCUAGUGGGGGAUCCUGCAUGGAUAGAAGAGAGCAGAAUAAGGGCCAAAGAAGUAGAGCAGCCUUGAAAUUGCUCCAUAGUCCUCUUCCUGUUCCUGAGGCUGGGGACACUACAUUUACACCAAAUGGUGUUCUCUCCAAAGGAAAACUAAAUGGGGUGUGAAGAGCAAUUCAAGUCCCUGGGGAAAUACAAGGAAACUAAAUCAGAUUGAGCAUGUCAAAACCAUCUCAGGUGAUAGAAUUACAGGAGAACAAGGAAAGAUGUAGACAAAUAUGGGAAGGAAAAAUAGCUGCUGAGUGCUUUGAAGCCUUCUGCAUCAAUCCAGCUGGGACCAAGGGCAUCCUGACCUUCCCAGGAAGCUGCUCAAGAGAUUUGUCCUCAGGGUCUUCAAAAACCAAAGCUGAAAAAGAGCUAGGCAGUAAAAAUGAGGGCUGAGUUCUUCUGACUGUAUACUAAAUGAUGCUCCUCACCCAGAAUUUGGUGAAAAAGCAGAUGUCAUGUUCCACUGUGGGGAAUGGUGAUGAGUUCUUUUAAAAAAUCCAGAACUGAGAUCACCAUCAUUUGUAGCUAUGAGUGGGAGCAAAUGGAACUAAACAACUGCAAGAAAUGAAUUGUCAGUGAAUUGUGUCUCCUUUUAGUGGAGUGUCUCAAGAUCUAUGCAUAUUUAAAGUACCGCUUCUUUUGUGGUCUUUGCCCUGGUGCAAAUUUUCUAACAGAGCCAGCUUUGUUAUAAUUCAGAAAAAAAUAUUUCCUGGGGAAUGCCACAGAAGCCAAAUACAGGGAGUAAGAGUUAAAGAAAAUGGAUAAAAAUAGUGGGGGAAGACCACUAAAGCAUCCCAAGGGACACUAUUAAUGAUAUCUUUUGGAGACAUGAAUGCAAGAAGAAAAAGAAGCUAGUCUCUCCUUGGGAAGCUACUUAGAGAUGAUAUUUUGAAGAAGAUUGCCUAUAAUUGAAAGAGACAUGAAGAAAAUGAGCAUGAAAAAGGAGCACCCUGUAGGUGUAACCAAGCAGGUGUAAAAUGAAAGUGGCAAAUCUCCCAGUCUCUCCUCGGUUUCCUCCAGCUGCAGAUCAGUUACAGGAUAAAUGGUUUAGAAGGGAAUUACAGACAUGAGGUAUUAAAACAAAGUAACAAAUACUAGAAACACAAUGCAUGGGACAGAAAAUGAAUCAAAAAUACACCUGACUCAUGUUGUGUGAAGAUCAAGAUCUGUCAUCUAAUUACACACCCUAUGCUAUGGAUAAGGGAUGGUACUGGAGGUGACUCCCCAAGUUUUCAGCCUGGUGUCUGUGUUCAGAGCUGGCUGCAAGCUGGUAAUCAUCUCCUGCAGCAAGUGCAUCUGUGAGUGUAUGUGGGACAGAUAAUCUUUUCUUUUCCAUAUGUACUUGAAUAAACUGUAUGAACUAUUAUUAGGAGGGGAUUCACAGGAAUGAGAAAUCAUUUAGCCUGAACUGUAGUGAGAGUCCACAGCUUUUAUGGGUCACUUUCUCUUCUGUGGCUCUAGACAGUGUGUGAGCAAACCUUCUCCACAUUAAUCAAAAGGUUGCCACAGGAAGGUGAAAAAUAAUUUUAAGCAGUUCCAUUUGGAAAACAAACAAAUAAAAGAAUAUAUUGAAAUAAGGCAGGAGAAGCUCUUCAGUUCCUGAGCAGUCUUGGCAGUUUUUUCUAUUCCAACUCAGGGCAAGAGAAGCUCAAAAACCCAGGGAAGAAAAGAUUGGUUUUCUCUGUUCAGGACACAGCAUGCAAAACCUACAAGAAAGGCAGAGAAUACAUAUGAUCCCUGCAGGAUAAAGGUCUUGUCUCGGUCAACAUUUACUCUCUGGAUGAAGGAGAUGAAAUCAUCCCAAAUGUACACAGUGCUGUUUCUCUUCUUUAUCCUCAUUACCUGAGGUGCAGUCUGAGGUGUUCCAAGCUGCAGGGCUUGCACAGGAUUUCCCUGUGUUUCCUUGCCCAGCAGACAACAGCAGGCCAUCAAAUAGGUUGCUUCAAACACACAUGAGCUCCAUAAUAUCCACACAUAAUGCUGCUGAAAAGGGACUCGGAAGACAGUGAAUCCCUUUGCUUAUAUUCUUUGUCCCAGAUGGUUGAUUGAUUUAUGAAUAUGGGAAAUCACAAGUCCCCCAGUGACUGCCCAACAGGUAGUUUGUUUGGUUAAAAGUAGAAGAAGCUCAAAAUUACCAGUCUUCAUGUUUACAGGGAUUUUUUUUUUUUGUUAAAUAUUUAUGUCAGAUAUGCUAUCCUCUUCUAGAAAAAAAAGUCAGCUGUCAGUGUGAUUGAAAAUAGCAGGGGACUCUUGCUUUUAACUGUCAAUUUAGUUAAGCAAAUUCAGCAGUAAUUUUUUUCUAAGAUGUCAGCUUUUCAUUAAAAAUGGCAAGUAAAGGGUGAUGAAAUCCUGCAGAACUUGUCCCUGGCUUUGCUGCUGCAUUGCUUUUUUCUGCAAAUCGAAGCAAAAUUCUCUUUUGGAGCCCUCCAGCCAGAGUGCCUGUGUGUCUCAUGUUCUUCUGGAGCACUUGGCUAGGAGAACGACUGGACUGAAAGCCAUGACAGCAUGGUUAGAAGAAAAUCAGUUCUAUAGGUUUGCCAUAAAUCAAUGAACCAAACAUCCUUUCAAGCACUGUCCAGGUGUUUUAAUGCUCCUCCAUUUGCAGGUGCAGAGCAGUACCUUGCAGCUUCUCUAUUGCUGUGCCUGGCCUGCAGGCAGGGUUAAAUCCAACACAACCCUGUGACAGUGUGUUGGGAUGUUGCUCAUGUCCAAGAAGAGAGUUUUCAGAAGGGUUCCUGAGGCUGUGUUGAUUACAUGUAUUUCAGGCCAGUUUCAUGCAUUGGCAGCCAGUUUCCCACCUGCUUUUCCUAAAGGCCCAAGGUACAUGAUGUUUGUAAAGCAGCCUGGGUAUUUUAUAUUUUUUUGAUUGUGACUCCAGCUGUGCCCAGCCUGCUGCCUCGUGCUUAAAUAAGGAGUAGUUUAAAUCAUUGUAUUAUGGAGAUAAAAUGUAUUUCAGCAAAGGCUGUGGUUUUCUUAAGAGCCUUGGAAUUACGUGUUUAGUCCUUUCAAAUCUCAGUGAGACUUUGAAUGCUCACAGAUGCUUUUCAAAACUCCCCCAAACCUCUGUCUGAAUAAUUCCUAGGUUUGCUGCUCCCCCCUGGUCUAUCCACCUCUAUCUGCAUCUGCCUGCACAACAUUGUAUUUAUUCCAGGAGGUCUCCAGGCUUUAUCCAGAAGGAAUGUGUCCAGAACAAGCUGAAAUAUUUUGGAAUAUGUACUGAGACAUUUGAAUUAGGAUGAACCAGACGAGGCAAUAGAAGUUACUUACAAAAGAUGGCUGCUGUCUAUGCUGAGAUCUCUCAAACAGUGAAUUUAGAAGUAAUGAGGUAGUAGUGAAAUUUAUUCAGAAUUAAUGUGUUCAUAUAAAUAUUCUACAGUAAAUUAUUUGCCAAAUAACAUUCAUUACUUUGCAGCAGAGGUCAUAUAAUUGAGAAAAUGUAUUUGUGAAUAAAUUAUUCAACAAUUAAUGUAAGAUGUAACUGCUAAAUUAUUCACAGAGACUAAUUCACCCAGUUCUAAUUCAUUUCCACUCUGAAAGUGGUUUUGGGUACAUGUGCAUUUGUCCCUGCCCAUGGCAGGGGGGUUGGACUGGGUGACCUUUAAUGGUUCCCUCCAACCCAAACCUUUUAGGGCUUCUGUGAUAUGAGUGCAUGGCUCCUGCAGCCAGUAGUAAACACCAUUUACUGUCUCCCUCUGCAGCUGCAGUUACUAAAUUUCAUCCUGUGUGGAGCCUACCCUACAAAAAUCCAUAAAAAUGCUUCUUUUUGCCUCAAAUUAACCUAAUCCUUGCCUGGAUAAUUUCUCUCAUUGUUGACGAUAUUGGUAUUAGAAAAAAAGAAUACCAUACAUACCAACUAUUUUUAAAUUGAAUUUGAUUUCAAGACCAGCAUCACUGGAACUCAUUAUGCCACAUCCCACCAGCCCAAAGUUUUUUUUAAGAACCCAAACCCUCUAAGAUUACAGAUCUUAACAUUCUUUUUCUGUGAAAGAAGUGGUUUGACCUCCAUCAGCUUCAGCCUGCAAGAUGAUGAUGUGAUCCCUCAAAUCAGAGAUGUGCAGAAGAGACUGGAACUCUGGUUUGUUCAGGGAGAAGCAGCACUGCUUCUGCUCACCAGCAUGUGCUUGUUUUUCUCUGAGGUAGAGUGGAUCAGCACCACUUUGUGAUGGCACUGAAAUCUGUCCCUUUGUGGAGGGCCCCCAUCUCAGGGUGGGCUUGCUGGGCUCACAGGGCAGCCCCAGUGUCAGAGCUCCAGAGUCUGUUUGCAGAACAGGGAAAAGGCUGGGGAUUCUCCAUGGCUGCUGCAGUGCCAGACAAGUUAAUCAAAGUGCAGGAGGGAGAUAAGAAUUACAUGCGUAUUAAGGAGGUUAAGAUGUGACAGAAAAGAUGAGAUUAAAAAUUGUGCUUUUUUUGUAGCUAAUUGUAGUCUAGGGUAACAAAAAAUUGUGUGUUUCCUGAAGUAAAAUGUGACUGCAGAGAAACACCAGAGACAAGCAUAACAAAUUCACAUGAUUCAAGCCCUCAUGUUUCCUCAGUUUGAGUGAGGGAGCAGCUUUGCCAGCCAUGCUCACCACCUGCUCCAGAAAUGUGGAGUGGGCUUCUUUAGGGGACAGCCACGGCUCCUUUAGGUAACAGGCAGCUGGGGAGUGAUUCCAUCCUUGGCAGAGGCAUCCCAGGGCACACAGGGGUCACUGAAGUUCCCUAGUUGUGUAC